rnacentral:rRNA from 1 species
UCAGGCCUAACACAUGCAAGUCGAACGGCAGCACGGGUGCUUGCACCUGGUGGCGAGUGGCGAACGGGUGAGUAAUAUAUCGGAACGUACCUUAUUGUGGGGGAUAACGCAGCGAAAGCUGUGCUAAUACCGCAUAAUCCCUAAGGGGGAAAGCGGGGGACCGUAAGGCCUCGCGCAAUUAGAGCGGCCGAUACCUGAUUAGCUAGUUGGUGAGGUAAAGGCUCACCAAGGCAACGAUCAGUAGCUGGUCUGAGAGGACGAUCAGCCACACUGGGACUGAGACACGGCCCAGACUCCUACGGGAGGCAGCAGUGGGGAAUUUUGGACAAUGGGGGCAACCCUGAUCC